UCACAUAAUGCGGUUUGCAAAUGUAAUAUUAUACUACUAUAGUAAAAUAUUUGCUUCCUAAUUUCUAUGACAAUUUUAUUGUUACUAAUGUAUUUUAGUUUAACGUAAGAAGAAAAUGGAAGUACGUAAUGAACGAAAUAAAGCAAGAGAAGAAGCGAAACAACUUCGAACCAGUCUUGAAGCUGCAAUCAAGGAAGCUAAUUCCUAUAAACGCGAAAAAAAUGAUCUUGAAAUUCAAAUAACUCAAUUGAAGAAGGAAAUGGAAAAAGUUCAUAUGCUAAUGAUGAAACAUGCUGGUCAAUUUCAUAAGCCUGGACCAGAAAAUGGUGAAGAGCCUGAACGCGACAAUCGUUCUCCUGAUAUAUCAACUGAAGGCUUAAAAAAUGUUAAUAGUGAAGACGGCCUUGUUACAAAAGCUGCAGCAAGCAACAGCGAAACAAAGGAUGUGGACAUUGAGGAAUUUGUAUCCCAAAGAUCGGUACCAAAAAGUGUCUCAGAACUAUUAGAGGAAGAAUCUGCCGAAGAAAAACGUUUAAUACAACAGUUGUCCAAAGAUGAUUUUGAUGAAGAAUAUUUAUUACAAAAAAUUUCAAUGCUGCAACUUCGUCUUGACGAAACACAAAAGACGAUACAAAUUGAGAGAGAGGAAAAAAAUUCAUUACAUAAAGACUUGGAAAAACUUUCUCUUGAACUACAAGAAGUUCGUGAUAAACAGGAAGAACUUAGACAAGCAAAACAAGAAGCUGUACGCGAGCUACUUACAUUACAAGAGCAACAUAGAGCUGAAGUAAGAAUUUUAAAUAACUCAUUGCAAGAAGAAACAACUUCGAGAGAAAACCUCGAAAGGAGAUUAUGUGAAUUGAGAACAGAGCUUGAAAGACUGCAAGCGGAAAAUGCUUCUGAAUGGGGAAAACGUGAACGCUUAGAAACUGAAAAAUUGGCAAUGGAAAGAGACAACAAAAAGCUAAGAGCAGAAUUAAGAGAUUUUCAAGAACGUUCUGAUCGAAAAGGACGACAACCCCUUCAAGCUUCUGAUAUGGAGUACAGAGCAUUGCAACAAGAAUUGGCUGAAAGGAACAAGGAAAUUGGAGAAAUUAAGCUUUCGCAUUCCAAGUUAAAAAAAUUAUUGUCUGAAGCUAAUACCGAAUUAGGUCAUGCUGUAAGACGUGCAGAACAAUAUGAAGGGGAGGUGAAAAGGCUUAGAACAAGAGUAGAAGAGUUAAAACGUGAACUGGCUGUAGCUGAAGAUGAACUAGAUUCUGCCCAUAACCAAGUUCGUCGUUUACAAAGAACUAAUGAAGAAUUGAGCGGACAAUCUGAGGGACUUCAAGUUCAGAUUCAACAUUUACAAACACGUCGUCCAAUAAGUCCAUCCCAUCGUUCAAAUUUACAUUAUUCAUCAAGCAUGAAAUCUUCUAGCAAUGAACCAUGUAAACCAAGUAUUAAUGAUUUACGUCAACUUUUUGAUGAUGGUUCACGGCAUAGCAAUUUACAUGGCCAUUCGGGACAUAGUUAUCAGAGCAAUAACAGUAAUCGUAGCCUACUUAAUCAUGUUUCAAGUAGUAACGGUGGUGUUGCUAAUACUUCCAGUUCAAUUGGGCAACAUAACCAACAUUCACAACAUAUACAACAUAACAAUCAUCAUCAUCAUGAACGAUCAACAAGUUUAACACAAAAUUAUUUUGAUGCAAAACAAACACAUUUGGAGGAUAAUAUAUUUGAAUCAAAACAGCGUUACUUUGAAUUUGAGCGUGCUAAACAAAAAUUUGAACGUGAUCAACAUGAAAGAACAUCAUCAGUAUCAUCAUCAUCACAUAAUAAAUUUUCUGGUAAUUUUAAAGCAGGUGGUAUUAUUACUUCAUCUGGUGGCUCAUCAUCAUCAAAAAGAAAUUCAGAUGGUUUAAAUGCAAGUGCAAUGUUAAGUAAUAAUUCAGUUUUAAGUGGUAAUGGUGCACCACAAAGUUUAAAUGAUGCUAUACAAUUUUUUGAUGAUCAUUCAAGACAUAAUCAACAAAUCAAAAAAGAUGGUUAUUCACGUAACAGCAUUAAUUUAGAUGGACUUAAAAUUUCUGAUGAUGAUGUAAGUCGAUCUUGGAAUCCAGUGGAUUGAUUUGAAUUUUACGUUUAAAUUUAUUGUCUCAUAAUAUAUUUUGCACUGUGUGAUUUUGGAGUUUUUUUACACUCCGUAAUUAUGGUUCUACUAGUUUAUUACUUGAUGAACAAGAUGAUGAAAAUUCUGAUGAUAAUGAGACUUAACGAAAAUUAAAUGGAUAAUAAAUCAUAAAAUGGGAAGAAGAAAAAAAAAAAUUAAAUAUUUUAUUUAAACUAAAAUAUAAUAUUUAAAAAAAAUUAAAGUAUAAAAAGUUAAUUAAAUAAAUAUAUUAGAUGGUUAUACACUUGAUAAAAAUCUAUAAUGCAUUCAGAAAAGAAAACAUAUUAUAUAAUAUUAUAUUUAAAUUUAUAUUAAUAUAUAUAUACAUAAUUAUAUAGAUAUUAUAUAAUUAUUGCAUACGUUUAUAAAAAUUAUGCGCUGCCAACUAUUCCUGUUUCAAGAGUUUUUUUUUUUUUUUUACAAUAUUAUUUGAAAUUUAUUUUUAUUAUAAGUAAAAUGUUAGAUUAUAGUAAAUAGCUAUUAUAUUUUAAAAUUAGUUUAUUAUUAUUUUACAAUUUACAAUUUUUUUUUUUACAAAUUUUAUAAUUUAUAAUUCCAUUUAUUUUAAUAUUUUACAAACUGUUAUUUAACAGAGAUGGAAAGAAAAUAGAAAAUAAGAAAUAGGUGCCAAAUUAAUUUGUGUUUUGUCUGGUAUAUUCUUUUUAAAAAUGUUAUUUCUUAUGUUAAAUGCUUACAUGAUAAUAAUUUUUGUAUCUUAAAUGAAAAUUUUCAAAUUAUUUAGAAAAUAUUUUAAAACUUUUUUAAUGGUAUGACGUAAAUUUUGUGAUCUCGUCUUGUAGUUU